CCCGACUCCUCCUCCGCCCGUGACCUGGAGGCGGUGGCCUCUCCAACUAUCACCGAGGCCCCAGGAAGAAGAGCAGGGGAAGGAGGAAACGCAGGGGCAGCACGUCUCUCAGGGUACGGCGGCGCUACCGCCGGCAUGGAGCCCAACGUGCGCUUCUGGAUCACCGAACGCCAAUCUUUUAUUCAGAGAUUUCUUCAGUGGACAGAGUUAUUGGAUCCUACAAAUUUGGUCAUUUCAAUUGAGAAAAUAGAAAAAUCAAGGCAACUGUUGUUAAAUGAAGGUGCAUCUGUUCAUGACUUGGAGGACGAAACGGUAUGUUGUGAGU